rnacentral:rRNA from 1 species
ACAACACUCCUUCGCGCAAUCGCGGUUAAACCGUGACAGCGUGAUCCCAAGUGCUCAUGCAGGAAGGGGAUGUCCUUUGGUCUAAGUAACCAGAGGAAAAGGGAUGGGCAAGACCGGUGCCAGCCGCCGCGGUAAUACCGGCAGCUCAAGUGGUAGCCGCGUUUAUUGGGCCUAAAGCGUUCGUAGCCGGAUAAGUAAGUCUUUGGUUAAAUCCUGCAACUUAACUGUGGGAAAUCUAGGGAUACUGCUUGUCUUGAGACCGGGAGAGGUAAGAGGUACUCCCAGGUAAGGGGGGAAAUCCUGUAUCCCUAGGGGGACCCCCUGUGGGGAAGGCGUCUUACUGGAACGGGUCUGACGGUGAGGGACAAAACCUAGGGAAGCGAGCCGGAUUAAAUACCCGGGUAGUCCUAGGCGUAAAUGAUGCGAGUUAAGUGUGGGGGCUCUACAAAAUGGCCCUGUGCUGUAGGGAAGCCGUUAAACUCCCCGCCUGGGGAGUACGCCCCAAGGUUGAAACUUAAAGGAAUUGGGGGGGGAAGGGCAAAUUCGUUUAAACCUGCAGGAUUAGUCCCUUUAUUGAGGGUUAAUUCUGAGCUGGGCGUAAUCAUGGCCAUAGCUGUUUCCUGAA